UAAACCGAAAACUGCACACCCCUAGGGGUAACACCUAACACACACUGCUUUGCCCCCUACAAAACCCAACUUUAUCAAUGCCAAACUCCAUUCCAAUCUAAUACAUUAGCUACCAAAGAAAAAAGAAAUUAUAAUAAAAUAAAAAGAUUGAAAUCAUUGCUCAUAUAUAUCUAUUUUCUCUCAAUCAUUUUCUGCGAAUAAUAUAUUAGACUUCUUCUUUUUCUUGAUGAGUAUACAUGUUUUACUACACAAGAAUUUUUAUAUAGUGUGUGAAUGAGAGAGAGAAUGGGAUGGGGCCGG
rnacentral:misc_RNA from 1 species